UAUUGUGUUAUUGUGGAACAAACGUGGUGCUUCCCAAUUAAAGUUCAAUUCUGAAAAUUUCAGGAUUUUGGACACUUUUUGACUUAUUUUCGAGAAAUUUUUGGUUAACUAAACGCAGAAAAAGCAUUGGCCAAAUGAAUUCAAUGCGAAGUUUAAUUUUCAAGUGUCGUUCCUGGGGUUUUUUGAUUUGUUCUUUUCUUGGGAAAGUUGAUUAUUAUGACUAUGAGGAAAAUAUUAUGCGGUUCAAGGUACUAAACACCUGACACCUUCACGACUGAUUCACCAACUAUAGCGCAAUACACGGUUUGAAGAACUUUUACAACCAUGUAUGCAGCUGGUUUACAGUACGUGCUCAGUUUUGAGAACUGGCUCACCAUCUCCACGAAUACCUGAGACCAGACUCGAUUUUUGCAAUCCUCGUUGCGUAAACUUCUAUCAAACAUCAACUUUUUUUGUUCCGGAACUUCAACAUUAACAACUUUUGCCAACUCUGGGCAUAAAAUUGGGUCCUGCCUGCUGCAGUUUUGACCCGGAGUCCUGGAUGCACUCAACUACGUUAGCAUGGAGCUGUAAUGUACAGUAUUGGACGACGUAGCACUCUAAAAUAAUUGUUUACAGAGGAAACUAUUAGGCCGAUAACAUCGCACCUUACUCCAACAACGCGCGCUCCUUCAACUUCUUUAACUCACCGUCAGGUAAGUCACCUUCCAAUUUCGUAACUACUUGUUACUAAAACCUCCUACUAAACUCCUACUAAACUCCUAGAUACUGGUUCAAAAUUUAUGCUGUCCAGAUUUCACUGUUUGUAACAAACUGUCCUGAUAACACUGAGAUUCUGACGAAAAAUAACUUAUUAACUUCAACAGACCUCACGAAUCAAACAAACGUACACAAACAGGAAACGGACCAAACA